rnacentral:rRNA from 1 species
CAUGCGGGAACCGCGAUGAGGGUAUUCCAAGUGCUAUUACUUUGUAAUAGCUUUUCACCUGCCUAAAAAGCUGGUGGAAUAAGGGCUGGGUAAGUCUGGUGCCAGCCGCCGCGGUAAUACCAGCAGCUCAAGUGGUGAUCCUUAUUAUUGGGCCUAAAGCGUCCGUAGCCGGUCUAGUAAAUCCUUGGGUAAAUCGUACCGCUCAACGGUACGAACUCUGGGGAGACUGCUAGACUUGGGACUGGGAGAGGUCGGAGGUACUCCAGGGGUAGGGGUGAAAUCCUGUAAUCCUUGGGGGACCACCAGUGGCGAAGGCGUCCGACUAGAACGGAUCCGACGGUGAGGGACGAAGCCGUGGGGCACAAACCGGAUUAGAUACCCGGGUAGUCCUGGCUGUAAACGAUGCAUACUAGGUGAUGGCACGGCCAUGAGCCAUGUCAGUGCCGUAGGGAAACCGUUAAGUGUGCCGCCUGGGAAGUACGGUCGCAAGGCUAAAACUUAAAGGAAUUGGCGGGGGAGCACAAGCCGAAUUCC